UCUGCAUGGCAGAACUCCUGCGCAUUGGCGCAGCAGGCUGUCAUGGGGCUGCCUCUUCAUUAUCCCUCCCGUCGGGGGGCACUUUUAUCCUGGGAGGGAUGUGCGUAGUCGGCUUUGUUUGUGUGGUUUAUCCAAGCAGGGAAUUAGAUCGGUCCCAUGAUGAGUGAUAUUUGCUUGCCCUGUUGAUAAUUUUAUUGUCGCCAGGGCAGUGGAAUUGUUGGCGAAGCCCGCGUGCGUCCCACGGCGUUGUUGCGGUGGCACUGUACUCGGGUUUUGUCGGCUCUUGCGGAUGUUGUGUCCACGAUGAGUUCUGUGGACCAUUGGUCCACAGGCUUCGGAUGGUCCCUUGUACGGAUCGUUGGUCCGUCAAUCGCCCGCCAUGUCGGUUCUGCUGUCAUGUCGGAGCGGUGUGUGGGUUGCCUCUGUGACUAUGUGAGCAGCGAUUUCCGGUUAGUGUUUCCAUGCGGGCCUACCCUUCGGGUGGCUCCGGAAACAAUGCGCCGGCUCUCGUUUAAGACGUGC
rnacentral:misc_RNA from 1 species